UCAGCAGUUCCAAAAUAUUAGUCAAUGCUCGAAAGAGUGAACUAGCUAACUGAAAUCAAUUAUAAUAAUUGAUAACAUAAGGGAAAAUAAUGAUAUUACCUUAUUAUUAGUGUCGUCCAAAACUGGUGCCAGAAGACUCGGUAAGGCCAGAGACACAAACGUUAAUCGUCUUAAUCAGGCGUAAAGGGUUUGUAGGCAGCUUUAAAAUUAGAUUAUUAAAUUAAAUAAAUAAAAAUUAUUAAUUAAUAAUUAAAGACAAAAAGCUAGAAUCAAAAAGAGGAUAUAUUAAAGAAUGCUUAGAGUAGGUCUGAUAUCCUUAGAUACUAAGUAGAAUAUUAAAGGCGAAAGCUUUUUUCCAUUAAUGAUUGACGCUCAGAAACGAAGGUGAGGAUAGGAAAUAGGAUUAGAUACCCAAAAUACCCCUCUCUGUCAACGAUGAAUGGUAAUUAUUAGUAAAAAUUUUAUUAAUGAUAAUGUUAACACGAUAACCAUUCCGCCUUGUGAGUACAACUGCAAAGUUGAAAACAAAAAAAUUAGUCGGUUCGAGCAAACGAAGUGAAGCAUGUUAUUUAAUUCGUUAAUCCGCAA
rnacentral:rRNA from 1 species